rnacentral:rRNA from 1 species
CGUGGGGUAACCUGCCCAAGAGAUCGGGAUAACACCUGGAAACAGAUGCUAAUACCGGAUAACAACAGAUGAUGCCUAUCAACUGUUUAAAAGAUGGUUCUGCUAUCACUCUUGGAUGGACCUGCGGUGCAUUAGCUAGUUGGUAGGGUAACGGCCUACCAAGGCGAUGAUGUAUAGCCGAGUUGAGAGACUGAUCGGCCACAGUUGGGACUGAGCACGGCCCAAACUCCUACGGGAGGCAGCAGCC